UGGGGAAUAUUGCACAAUGGGCGCAAGCCUGAUGCAGCCAUGCCGCGUGUAUGAAGAAGGCCUUCGGGUUGUAAAGUACUUUCAGCGGGGAGGAAGGCGAUAAGGUUAAUAACCUUGUCGAUUGACGUUACCCGCAGAAGAAGCACCGGCUAACUCCGUGCCAGCAGCCGCGGUAAUACGGAGGGUGCAAGCGUUAAUCGGAAUUACUGGGCGUAAAGCGCACGCAGGCGGUCUGUCAAGUCGGAUGUGAAAUCCCCGGGCUCAACCUGGGAACUGCAUUCGAAACUGGCAGGCUAGAGUCUUGUAGAGGGGGGUAGAAUUCCAGGUGUAGCGGUGAAAUGCGUAGAGGUCUGGAGGAAUACCGGUGGCGAAGGCGGCCCCCUGGACAAAGACUGACGCUCAGGUGCGAAAGCGUGGGGAGCAAACA
rnacentral:rRNA from 1 species